CGUUUUCUGCGGUGUGCGCCAGCUCACUCUUACAUUUGCCUUGUUCCUAAAUACGGCCCCGGGUCGGCUUCACAUCGGUUGUUGCGCAUAUCCACUGCGUGUGGAGAGCCUCUAGACCAUGUUUGCCCUCCCACCUGAUCCUCGUGGAUCAAGGUCGUUUGGUGAGCAACGGCACCGCGGUUUACGC
rnacentral:other from 1 species